rnacentral:rRNA from 1 species
UACGUAGGGUGCAAGCGUUUAAUCGGAAUUACUGGGCGUAAAGCGUGCGCAGGCGGUUGUGUAAGACAGAUGUGAAAUCCCCCGGGCUCAACCUGGGAACUGCAUUUGUGACUGCACAGCUGGAGUGCGGCAGAGGGGGAUGGAAUUCCGCGUGUAGCAGUGAAAUGCGUAGAUAUGCGGAGGAACACCGAUGGCGAAGGCAAUCCCCUGGGCCUGCACUGACGCUCAUGCACGAAGCGUGGGAGCA